AAAAGACUUAGUCCUAACCUUACUGUUGGUUGUUGCUAGGUUUAUACAUGCAAGUAUCCGCGCCCCAGUGUAGAUGCCCUGGACACCUUAAACCCCAAGUAGAUAGGAGCAGGUAUCAGGCUCACCACCAAACCGUAGCCCAAGACGCCUAGCAAUUGCCACGUCCCCACGGAUUCUCAGCAGUAGUCAACAUUAAGCAAUGAGUGUAAACUUGACUUAGCCAUAGCAAACCUUUAGAAUCGGUAAAUCCUGUGCCAGCCACCGCGGUCAUACAGGAGAUUCAAAUCAACUUUAUAACGGCGUAAAGAGUGGUCACAUGUUAUCCAAGUAACUAAGAUUAAAAAGCAACUGAGCUGUCAUAAGCCCAAGAUGCUCAUAAGGCCUCUACCCUCAAAGAAAAUCUUAGAACAACGAUCAAUUGAACUCCACGAAAGCCAGGGCCCAAACUGGGAUUAGAUACCCCACUAUGCCUGGCCCUAAAUCUUGAUGUUCCACCCUACUUGAACAUCCGCCCGAGAACUACGAGCACAAACGCUUAAAACUCUAAGGACUUGGCGGUGCCUCAAACCCACCUAGAGGAGCCUGUUCUGUAAUCGAUGAUCCACGAUAUUACCUGACCAUUUCUUGCACGAAACAGCCUAUAUACCGCCGUCGCCAGCUCACCUUCCCUGACGGCCUAACAGUGAGCGCAAUAGCCCCAUCACGCUAGUAAGACAGGUCAAGGUAUAGCCUAUGGAAUGGAAGCAAUGGGCUACAUUUUCUAAACUAGAACAUUACGGCAAAGGGACUUGAAACUGUCCCUGGAAGGAGGAUUUAGCAGUAAAGUGGGACAAUCGAGCCCUCUUUAAGCCGGCUCUGGGGCACGUACAUACCGCCCGUCACCCUCCUCGCAAGCGACCAAAACACCCUAUAACUAAUAAGCUAUUCAGCUAAAGAGGAGGUAAGUCGUAACAAGGUAAGUGUACCGGAAGGUGUACUUAGACUACC
rnacentral:ncRNA from 1 species